rnacentral:lncRNA from 1 species
UUUUAAUCUACCAAGGAAAGAAGGGAUGACCAAAAUCUAGUUGUAGUAUUGUAUCUAUUCCUAACUGUUAACAUAGUUAGAUCAGUCAUCUUGCCUUAAAAAAAUCUUGUCAGUGGUCUUCCAUCUGUAAAAUAAGAAUAAUUCUUACUACUAACUUUGCAUCUAGGUGAUAGCAAUUAUAAAAAUUACAUUCAUUGCAGGUUUAAUGUAAGUCCAUGUUUUUAUUUGUCAGGAGAAAUCAUGGCAACUAGUGAUCUUUGUUUUUUUUUCCCUCAGAGAUCAUUUUAAUGUGAAAAACUCUGACAGCAGAGAUUUUGCCUUCACAAAUAGUUUAAUAUAAGUCCUCCAGCAUCUUUCCCUUAUACAUAAGGGAAAAUAUUUUGGCCCUAUCUAGUAAAAACAGACCAUGUGGUUAAAUGACAGGUAUAUAGUCAGGUCCCCAGUUAUAAUUUGAGUCAAUUCUUAAGUGGAGGCUUCACACAAUGGGACCAGUGGUCCUACUCCCAAGGGCCCUGCUUCAUACUGCCCUUAUCUUAAAGCCAGAGUUCCUGAUCUCUGAUUUUGAAUUAAAAAAAAAAAAAAAAAAGAUGGUUAACCUAAAUUAAGUUUUAAUAAACAGAACUAAUAACAGAAACAUCCCUAAUUAGAUUCCAGAGAGAAAGCAAGAAACCACCUAGAGCCAAAGAGAACAAAAAUGAUCCCUUCAGGACUUUAUUUUGGGCUUUCACACACAUGUGACCACAUGGAUCCAGAUACAAAUUUAUAAGGUGAAUAAAUAUGUACUACUUAGCAAUUAGAUCAAGUUACAUGUCUUCAGUAUUAAUAAUUAUUAAUAAUUAUCUUAUUUUUUUAGGAAAUACAAUUAUUAAGUCAUUGUCAGAUCUCUCAAUUUCCUGGAGACAAUGUUUCCGGUUAAAAUUUCAAAGAACAUUUUUCUACAACGUAACUCCAUCAUUGCUGAGUAUCAUCACACCAAAACAGUUGAUGGGAUUCUCUUUUAUCCAAGGCUUUAAAAAGCCCAUCCAGGUGCCAGUGGUUGAGGACGUAUGUCGCCCUGCCAGGAGCAGCCCCGUAAGCAUGCCUGCCACCUCAUCAUCUGUCAAAGGACGCCCAUCCUUGCACUUACUUUGGCUGGCCUUCAGAGAAUUUCUGACUGUUUAGCCUGCUGAUGUCUUUUAAUGCCAGAGUGCAGCACUGCCGGUGACCUUCGUUUAUAUUUCAACCAUGAGCUAAAUCUAGAAAUAGACAUCAGAGCACACUGCUAUGUUAGCAAACUACAUCACAGAGACAUCAUUUUUAAGGAUAACUGAAGAGUUUUGUUCUUUACACCACGGGAAAAUAAGGAAAACCAACAUGACUGCGGCAGACAGUGAGGAAGACCGGCUACCCAUAAGAAGAGGAAGAACUGGAUCCCCCAGGGCUCCCUGGUCCAGUCGGGGGGCUGCUGGGGGAACCUUAAAGCCUAUGGCAGAAAUGGUUGGUGGCGUCGCGGCCACACAUGCAGCUUUUAGCAGUGGGAGCAAAUACGUCAAAGAGACUAUUAGAGUCUGUGAUGUCACCCCCCUCAUCCCUUUUUCUUAAUGCCAGUCUGGCUUUUACCCUUUCCUUGUGCCCAUUUCUCAGAGACUACUUUGGACAAGUGUACCAGGGAUCACCAAUGCUGCUCCCAAGGAUCAGCUCCUUGUUUGUGUCCUUAGCCUAUAUCAGCAUUUUACACUGAUGACUACUGUCAUUUUCCUCCGGCAUUUGUCCUUUGUUUUCUACCAUAUCACACUCCUCCAGUUUUCCUCUUGCCUCACUGACCGUCCCUUCCCCAUCCCCAUUCCUGGCCAUUGCUCCCCAGUGAGAAGAUCAAAAGAAAAAGUAUUUAAAAUUUAUUUUAGGAACUGAAAUAUACACACUUUGAGGGAUAUAGAUAAACUAGCUAAAUAUAUGCUUGCUUGUUAAUUUGAUUGCCCAUAUUAAUAAUCACACAAUUAAUAGAAUAAUAUAUGAAUGGAGAGAUAUUAAUUUUUCCAUUCUCGCAUUUCAUGAAAUAAUUCUAUGCAAAAUCUUCACUUGUGGCCUUCGAUGUCGGUCGCUGUUUUCAGUAGAGCCACUUUCAAGUCCUUGAAUAUAGUUUCCCUGAGUACAUCCAUUUAAGAUUUAGCCCUUUUGGAAU